CAUUAGCAGCAACAAAGCAGCAAGGCAAGGCGGUAAUCUCCUUCACAGGGAGCUUUCCUGUGGUGUUGCAGGCUGAAGUGCUCCUCACAGCGUGUGCAUGCUGCGGAAAUGCCACCAUUUCACCUAGGCCUAGCAGCCCUGCCCUGCUCAGUGCUUUCUGGAAGCUUCCACUGCAGAACACAGAUAACAAGAUGGCAGAACACAUCCCCCCUUACAGGGUAAGGAGAGUCAAGACAUUUUCCUCAGACUUUGUUAAGCUCUUUUGAACAGUGGAAAAGGAGGGAAAUAGUUUUACCUCACCCUUACCAGGUGAGGCAGAUAAUAACACAGAGCAGCCGUACAACAUAUGGCCUAAGUAUCUCCUGCUGUGCCUCACUGGUAUUGAGAUAACAGAAUGCUAGUGGUGUUUUGUUGAAGAAAACUUCUGUGGUUUUUUUGUUUGUUUGUUUUUGUUUUUGGUUUUGGUUUUUUUUUCAUAAGAAAAACUGCUUCAAGUUGUGACUUUACUGAGAAGUUAUUCCUCAGUGCUGCAAGCAAAUGUAAUGGAGAGGUUUGUGUAAAAUAACAUGGAAGUUUACUGUCUGCCAGAGCUUGAAGCCUCAAAGAUUGAAUCAUGGAGCCCUGAGAUUCCCAAGGUUACUGCACAAGCUCUCGUGGUUACUGUGACUGUGGCAAAGGGCUGGAAAUAAAACUGAAGCUGUGGAAACCCCAUUCUUGGAAGACAUUGAAGGCGACCCUGAUUUGAGCAUCGCUAGCUGGUUUCAGCGGGAAGGUUGCACUAGAACUCUCCAGAGAUCCUUUCCAAUAUGUUCUGUGAUUCUGUCAAAACUUCAGCAAAACAGAUUCCAAUGCAAAAGAGAAGCUGUUGAAUUAAAAGACAUCCAAUGUCCUCUUACUGAGGUGUCACACUUUGCUAAGGCCAUAACUGUACAGAAAUAUUAGAAAUUCAAAUCUGUGUGUGCAAAGCUAGAGUGAGAAAACUUUUUUGCAAAUAAUUCACCUGCUUAAAUGUAAGAAAGCAGCAGUAUCCAAAAACUGAGAAAGAACAUGAAAAGAAUGAACUAAGAAACCUGUUCAUAUAAAGGAAGAAAAAUGAAAAACAAUUCAGAAGAUUUUGUGAAGGAGAAAAAAAAAAAAAAGAACUUAAAAGAGGCACUAUUUAGCUUGUUAGGAUGCUUAUAGUUACAGUUCUAUCUCUACCCAUUUCUUCUCACAGAACUCAGAAACAUCUGAACUAUUAUUUAAUGUAUUGCUCAGUUAAAAAACAACAACAACAAAAAACACCAACAAAAGGCCUUAAAGUACCUGUGUUUUUAUUAUCAAAUCAAAGGACCUGAGUCUACACUGAGUAACUGGUUUUCUGUCUUAUCUGUUCAUAAGAAUGAAUUUGAAAAUUGUAUGAGUGUUAAGGAUGCUUCAGUAAACCUUGGUUUUUAAAAAUAAUGGAAUUACAUUUGAUGGUGGUGUGGCUCUGUUUUUGUUGUUGUUUGUUUGUUUUGUAUUUUUUUAACCAUGCUUUGUUUCUGAUGAUUUAGCAAAUUCUGUUAAACUGCUACAUCUGCAAAUGUAAUGACUUGAAACAAUAUAAAGACUUUUCUUUCUGUGUUUUUCACAGCUCACAGGUAGAAAAGCUUUGUUUGUUUUGUUUUCCUUCUUUGUUUUGAAGAUGACACUACAAAUAACAUGACAAAGCAAUACAAUUCCAGGUAGUAUAAUGUUGUCUAAUUUAAGUUCACCACACCUAUGCUUAUUUGGGCAUGCAUGUCUAGCUGUAUUAAUUUUUAUUCAUAAAUUGCCACAAUUCAUCCACAACAUGCAGAUACUUCAGGAUUUAGGAAUGGGUUGCAAGUGUUUAACAUAGAGAAAAGAGUUUGCAAACCUGAAUCUGAGAAGUCGUUUGCAGUUUUCUGAACA